rnacentral:rRNA from 1 species
CAAAUGAAUUGACGGGGCCGCACAAGCGUGGAGCAUGUGGUUAAUUCGACGCAACGCGAAGAACCUUACCAGGGCUUGACAUCCCCUGACCGCGUAUGAAAGUACGUUUUCACCCUCGGGUGACAGGGAGACAGGUGGUGCAUGGUUGUCGUCAGCUCGUGUCGUGAGAUGUUGGGUUAAGUCCCGCAACGAGCGCAACCCCUACGUUUAGUUGCUAACGCGUGAAGGCGAGCACUCUAGACGAACUGCCGUUGACAAAACGGAGGAAGGUGGGAUGACGUCAAAUCAUCAUGCCCCUUAUGUUCUGGGCUACACACGUGCUACAAUGGCCGGUACAGACGGACGCAAAGCCGCGAGGUGGAGCAAAUCCUAAAAAGCCGGUCUCAGUUCGGAUUGCAGGCUGCAAUUCGCCUGCAUGAAGUCGGAAUCGCUAGUAAUCGCAGGUCAGCAUACUGCGGUGAAUACGUUCCCGGGCCUU